GACGAACGCUGGCGGCGUGCUUAACACAUGCAAGUCGAACGGACAGGCCCCAGCUUGCUUUGGUACAUGUUUGGCGAACGGGGGAGUAACACGUGUGUGACCUGCCCCUCUCUUCGUGAUAAGCCUUGGAGACUGGGUCUAAUACCCGAGACGAUCUCACCUAGCGGGUGGGGUAGAAAUUUAUUCGGUGUUGGAUGGGCCCUCGGCCUAUCAGCUUGUUGGUGGGGUAAUGGCAUACGAAGGCGGCGACGGGUGGCCGGCCUGAGAGGUUGGACGCCCACCUUGGGCCUGCGGCAGGGAGCAGAAUCGUAUGGGCGGCAGUAGUGGGGAAUAUUGCACAAUGGGGCGAAGUCUGAUGCAGCGACCCCGCGUGGGGAAUGCCGGCCUUUGGGUUGUAAACUUCUUUCUACAUAGACGUACGCUUCCUGACGGUAGAUGGACAAGAAGCCCCGGCUAACUACGUG
rnacentral:rRNA from 1 species